ensembl:misc_RNA 7SK 7SK RNA
GGAGGUGAAGGCGAUCUGGCUGCCUGACCUGUCACCCCAUUGAUCGCCAGGGUUGAUUCGGCUGAUCUGGCUGGCUAGGCAGGUGUCCCCUUCCUCCCUUACUGCUCCAUGUGUGUCCCUCCUGAAGCUGAAGAGCGCUCUGAAGAGGACGACCUUCCCCAAAUAGAGGAGGACCGGUCUUCGGUCAAGGGUAUACAAGUAGCUGCGCUCCCCUGCUAGAACCUCCAAACAAGCUCUCAAAGGCAUGAGCUGACACCACUACCUGAAUUUUUAAAAAAUUAUUUUUUAAAGAUUUAUUUAUGU